rnacentral:sRNA from 1 species
AUGCGUCCUGGGCUGCUGGCAGAGACCAUGGCUCUCUGAUGCCCUGUCCCUCCUCUCCUUCCUCUUCUAGGGGUCGUAUCAAACACCUGGAUGUGGUGACCCUCCUCCGGCGGAUUCAGCCCCCCCUAGGUUUUGGGAAGCUGUGCCCUCACCGCGUGGCUUGCAAACGCCUGGUCUCCAUGAACAUGCCUCUGAACAGCGACGGGACAGUCAUGUUCAAUGCCACCCUGUUUGCCCUGGUCAGGACGGCCCUGAGGAUCAAAACAGAAGGGAACCUAGAACAAGCCAAUGAGGAGCUGCGGGCGAUCAUCAAGAAGAUCUGGAAGCGGACCAGCAUGAAGCUGCUGGACCAGGUGGUGCCCCCUGCAGGUGAUGAUGAGGUCACUGUUGGCAAGUUCUACGCCACGUUCCUGAUCCAGGAGUACUUCCGGAAGUUCAAGAAGCGCAAAGAGCAGGGCCUUGUGGGCAAGCCCUCCCAGAGGAACGCGCUGUCUCUGCAGGCUGGCUUGCGCACGCUGCAUGACAUCGGGCCUGAGAUCCGACGGGCCAUCUCUGGAGAUCUCACCGCUGAGGAGGAGCUG